GUUAGGAAUAUUGGACAAUGGGCGAAAGCCUGAUCCAGCCAUGCCGCGUGAACGAUGAAGGCCUUCGGGUUGUAAAGUUCUUUAGCCGAUGAUUAUAAUGACUGUAGUCGGAAAAUAAGCCCCGGCUAACUUCGUGCCAGCAGCCGCGGUAAUACGAAGGGGGCGAGCGUUAUUCGGAAUCACUGGGCGUAAAGCGUGCGUAGGCGGUUUUGUAAGUUAGGAGUGAAAGCCCAGGGCUCAACCUUGGAAUUGCUCUUAAAACUGCAAGGCUAGAAUCUCGGAGAGGAUAGCGGAAUUUCCAGUGUAGCAGUGAAAUGCGUAGAUAUUGGAAGGAACACCAGUGGCGUAAGCGGCUAUCUGGACGAGUAUUGACGCUGAGGCACGAAAGCGUGGGGAUCAAACAGGAUUAGAAACCCUAGUAGUCC
rnacentral:rRNA from 1 species